UUUCUUCAGAAAUUUAUCUUCGUAGGAUUUCACGAGCGUUUCGAAAUAGAUGUUUACUCAAUGAUGAUCAGGAAGCGAACUUAGCGUCCUCGUUAUUCAUUUUUCACCCUUUUUUCGGUAAAACUUCUCUUUUUUGUCCAUCGCCCUCUUUGAUACCACAAGAAAAAGUGUAAAAAAUUUGUAUUUCUGAGCGCCAUCUCUUAUUGACAUUUGGUUUUUCUUCCAAAUUUUCAAAAAUUACUUUUUAAAUAAACUAUAUUUAUUGAAAUCCUUCAAUGUCUGAAUACUCCGAAUUAUUUCAUUCCCCUUUGACACAAUUUUUCACAUUAAUUCUUCUUUAAUUCCAAAAUUUAUUAUCAAAAUCUUCACAUUUUUAAUUUUCAACAUUUCGGUUUUAAACUGAUUAAAAUCACUUGAAUCUGAUGUAAUUCAUUAUAAGCUUUAUGUUUUUAGGUAUUUCAGGAAGCUUUUUGGCUGUAAUCACCCGUAAAUUGAAUACUUUGGAUUUGGAGGUUAUGUUUCGUUUUUUUUUACUAAAUACAAGAAUAUUUCUUAAUCUACGACGGAAAUACGAACGGAUUUAUCAUUGAUUAAAACAUUUUUACAAAUAACGACGAAAUCAAUGAGAACUAUAACAAACUUUUAUGAAAUUUUUCAACGAUCAGCUUUAACUAUCCUCGGUAUAUCAACUUUGAUAUCAAUACAUUUGAAGAAGUACUAAUAAACUCUCUAGGCUCUCGAUUUACAAGGAUUUUUCUAUGGAAUGUCAUUAUCUCCUCUUUAUUGUAAUUAUUUCUUAUAACAAAACUAUUGCUUAUUAAUUAAUUCAUACAAUUAUGAGAGGAACCCAAUUACUCUUUAAGAGUAAUUUAAUUCAGAGUUGCUGUGUGCAUGUGGAGCUUGAAGAAAGGUCACCGCAAUUCUAAAGAAUGUGCGAAAUAUAUCAUAUUAAGUUAUUUAUAUUAUGUUUAUCAUCAUCCAUUUCCAAACAAGACAUAUACAGUUCCUGUAAUAGCAAAACUUUCACAUUACGAUUACGUUAUAGCUAAUCGCCAUCAAUUUUGAACAAUACAAAUUGACAAGAAGUACUUUUUCCGCUACGAAGACAUGGUGAUUAACCGCUCCAUCGUUUUUUGAUAGAUAAAGAAAAAUAUGUGAAAGAAAAAUGUGGACAUUGAUGCUCCAGUUAUUGUGCAAACUGAUGACCACCAUUGUAAACCCCAAAAGCAACCCUAACCUUAUGGAAAGAAGCUGGACAAAUCCAUUUUGACUCAAAAUGAUAGUAAUCGAAACACUACAAUCCACCAUAUUAAAGAGGCAGCAACUGCCUCACGGCCGAAGCGCUAGAAUUUAGAUUGUAGUACGUUAAAGUAUUAUUAGUCGAGGUUGCUCGCCGCCGAGGUGAUCUAAUCUGAAUUGCUAAAGAGAUAGUACAAGAUAGUUACAAUUCACCGUCAGAAUUCACUCCGUAAAGUGUAUAAUAAUGAAUAUUGUUAAAGUGACAGUAGCUGGGAUGCUAUAAUCUGAUUUGGGAGG